rnacentral:rRNA from 1 species
GACGAACGCUGGCGGCGUGCUUAACACAUGCAAGUCGAACGAAGUGGCGAACGGGUGAGUAACGCGUAAUCAACCUGCCCUUCAGCGGGGGACAACAGUUGGAACCUACUGCUAAUACCGCAUACUGCAGUAUGUUAUUUCGUCUGAUUAGCUAGUUGGCGGGGUAACGGCCCACCAAGGCGAUGAUCAGUAGCCGUUCUGAGAGGAUGAACGGCCACAUUGGGACUGAGACACGGCCCAGACUCCUACGGGAGGCAGCAGUGGGGAAUCUUCCGCAAUGGACGAAAGUCUGACGAAGCAACGCCGCGUGAGUGAUGACGGCCUUCGGGUUGUAAAGCUCUGUUAAUCGGGACGCGGUACCGGAAUAGAAAGCCACGGCUAACUACGUGCCAGCAGCCGCGGUAAUAC